rnacentral:misc_RNA from 1 species
UUCUCUAAGCUUGAAAGCUCUAAGAUUCUCAUUGGAGAAAAUAAUAUGAGAUUUUGCAGAACAACUAAUUGACUAGAACAAUGUUUUCACAUUUCAAUUACUUGCACGAAAAGCUGCAAAGUAAUUAUGAUUCAAGCGAACAAGUGAUGACUGACUGCAAAAAUAUUACAUCACUAACUACAACCUCUAAUUUAUUAUGCCUACUUGCAAAACCAGGACCUAAAGUUUUCCUAUAUACACUAGAUGAUUAUGUUUGUCCAUCACGGGUUUCCAAUACUGGUUACAAAAGGCACCAGCCUUCUAUAGUCUCUCCUCCUCCCUAGUGCACAGUUGUCAAGUACUCUUCCCAGGAUCAGACGCGUGUUCUGUAAAGCCACCUCUCUAGGUGGAAUGCCUGAUUCAAUUCCGCUUUGUGUACCUGGUGUGGAUGCAACCCCAAACCCUGAUCCCAUGGCAUAUUGUAGGGGCCCACUCCGAGCUUUAAAUGAGGUCUGAGGAGCAAGCAUCUUAUCAUCAGCACCAUUCUCAUAAGAACCUGACUCAUGUGGGUGGGAACCUGUCAAUGAACUACAGCUCUGCAAAAGGGCUUCCAGCACGCUCAAUGCUUCCCAACACAAUGUACUCUCCACCAGCUGGGACACAAUUGCAUACAUAUGCGGGCUUUGGGAAGCAUCCAUAGGAGUAUGCUGAAGCAGCGCUUUGAGCAUCAGCAGUAUCACACGCUGAUACUCAACCGGACCUUUCUCCAAUAGUUUUAGCAAGUGCCCAAAAGCCAAAGCAGAGUGCUUUGGAAACCAUUCAUUGCAUAAUAGUGGUGAGACACAAGCAAGGAGGUUCUCAAUGCUGUUGACCUCUCCUCGGGCAUAAGCAACAAAAACAGUGGCUAAUUCAUUCGAUGACUUUGCUCGACACCAAAGAGCAAUGUUAUUUGCAACGGAACAAGCCUUUUGCCACUGCUGGUGAAGUGGUGAAGCAGGUGCCACUGUUGCAUCCUUGCUAAGCUGCAAGCAGAGCCAGGGAAGCAAGCCUGUGAUGUGCAUCAGGAGCCUUGUCUCUGCAUCCCCAAAUAUAGAAUCACAUGAGUGCACGGUGAUCCGGGAGAGAACCUCAAUAGAAACGCCAUGACUAACAGUUGACAUGAGCCCUUUAAGCACAAGAGGCUGCACCCCUUCAAAUGUUGGCAGAUUCCCACUGGAUGAUGCUAGUGAUUCAAUUCGUUGAAAAUCCCCAAUGUCACUACCAUUAUCAAGCUCAUCACGAGGCAUGCUUGAAAGAAGCACAUUUUCUGUUGUUCUAUCCCGGAAUGAUAAACGAUCAAUCACACGUGAGAAGAGCUCAAGCACCUGACAGUAGACAUGAACAAAAUCUGUGUGCAUCAUGGCUACACAACCCCAGAAGAGUUGGGGGUAGAGGAUCACCUUUUCUGGCUCCAUAUUCUCCACCAUAACUUGUAAUGUCAACAAAAUUUCCAUGAUAAAUCCCAAAACUGGGGGUAUUGGAUUACCUAGGCAUCUGUGGAGGCAUCUAAGGAGUGAUACACAAGUGUCACUUGUGACACUAGGCCGCAAUGCACGGUAGAUCUGGUGUGAGCGGCACGCAAGGUGUCUUGAUGUGCACUCCAUGGCCCAUUUGAGUGCCUCAGCACCCCAAGUUUCACGAAGAUCUCCUUGGAAGAAGAUAGCAUCAACCAUACUCUGAACAAGUGCUGACAAGAGUGCUGCACUUGGAAGCUCAGUUCUUGUAACUGUGGGGUCCUCGUUCUCCCACAUCAUGCUCCCUCGCUUUGAUUGGACAUACUUGAUCAGACUGACAACCUGCUGCUUGUUCUCUCCGUCACUGUUUUCUACCUCAUACAGUUCCAAGUGCCGGCCUGCAAGUGAGUAUAACAAAUUAACAAGCAAAUGCUGGCAGUGCUCUAGCACAAUAUCCUCUGAACUAUCCAUUGAAACAAAUGUGACAUGAAAAAGCAGAGGCAAGUGUUCACGAAAAUCUUCAUCAUUCUCAUAUGCAAUUUCUGCCAGUAGAAUUAAUGCUAUAUCUGCAUGAGUUAGUGAAUGCUGUUGAUGCCCCUGCAAGGCUGACUGAAGUUCUUUGGCACUAACACCAUGCAUACCAACUCCAGGAUGCAACCCAUCUUCACCAGAGUUUGGAGUGUCAAUGAGGUAGUCUCCACUAUCCCUAGAAACAUGGCGGCUUCUUAAACUUCCUGUUGAACUUCUAACCCCCAUUAAAGGACCUGACAUGUUCACCAAUGCUGGAAGGAGCUGACCUGACCGUCCUGUAGUUACUGGAACCACAUUCAACUCUGGAGGCAUUGGACUUAAUGGGCCCGAGGCACUUCGCCCUGUCACACCUGCUGUUCGCCAACUCAGGCUUCCACUAGUAUUUCUGAGGGGACCAUCAAGGGAACCACGGACGAGUAAUGGUGACAUGUGUGGCUGGGUGUCCAUGACAGAUGCAAUUUGGGCUGCUGCAGGCCCCUGUGAGAAUUCCAACACAAAAUUUCCAUUUGCAUCACCCUUAGUUGCACUUGGCACAACUGGUUCAAUGCUAUCUUCCAACCUCCGUUGAGCCAAUUGAUAAACCAGGUGAUCAAUUGUGCGCUGUGGACAAAUCCGUGCUAAAUAUAAGCUUACCCGCUUUGCAACUGAGAAGUAUGUGGCAAAUGCACCACUUAUUUCAGCAGAUGCAUUUGAAUCACAAUCUUCAAUUCCUUUUGUAAUCAAGAAAUCUAAUACUGGACUAAUAUUCCUUGGCUUGCUAGCAAUUGUGCUCCAUAUUUUUUCAAUUUCAUCAGGGAACUGAUCACCAUGUCGCCAUGUUACAUAAUAAAGACUCUUCAGCAAUCUUUCACUCCAACCUGAAUCCUUGAGUUUCCAGAAAUUGAGGUUCUCAAUCCAUGGAGCCAUGCAUGUUAAGACCUGAUGCUGUGCAAUUAUAUCAACAGCAUCCAGUUGCCUCUGCAUAAUCUCCUCACAAAGAAGCUGGCUUAAUUCAGGGUGAUCUUUGGCAAGUUUACAUGAAAGCUUGUACUGGAAUUGUUGGUAGGAAUCAGGGAGGUUGCCAACAACAGCAGCUCCAUAGCUUCCUGAGCCCUCAAUGCCAUCCUCAGCCCACUCACGGACAGAAAGUGUUUCAAGCAUCUGAAGGGCAUCAUCACGGAUUUGUCUGUUUGGGUCCACAACUUUGUAGAGGAUCAGGCUCAAAAGCCUCUGUAUUUCACAUUUUGGAAUCUCUUCGCGCAUGUAGACCUCAGCCAACACACUAAAGUAACCAUCAGCUAUAGCAGCAUCAGAAUAGUAGCACUGGUCAAUACAAGCUGGAAAAAGGUCCAAAUUGGUAAGAAGAAGAUUCUUCAAAGCCAAUUUUGCUAAGGAAACACGAUGCUGACCACCUCUAUGUCUGUCACGACCAGUAGCACCACCCCCACCUUCUCCAGUGUACUUGGAGUAAGAUGGAGUUGAUGGAGAGUAACCAAAUGGAGCCCUAGGUGCAGGAUCAUUGAACAAAACAUUGAUCCAUGCUAUCACCCGGCCACUCAUUUUUCUCGCAUUGUCAUCAAAGCAUGGUCCAUAUAAAAGCGAAGCCAUAGCAUUCAUGGAUGCCCACUGGAUUGCCUCAACUUGUUCAUUCAAUUCUUUAUCAAAUGAAAUUUUGUCUAUUGAAUCUUUUGACCUGUUGUGCUGUGAAGCCUUGUAACGUUCAACAUCACGUCGAUAAUCAUUAACACCAUCCUGCCCCCAUGUACUGCCAGUUUCGUCACUCCAGGACAAGAGAAGAUCAAAUAGUCGCUUUCUAGUUCUGAGGUCAAACUUUUCUGAUUUUGACUCAACAAAUUCAGGUGCAAGAGACCUUAAAACAGAAGCAAGUGCAUAACGGAGAGGUUGCAUUUCUUGGAAGUUCUCAUUUGUUGCUGUAAAGAUCUGUCUAGUUGUUUCAUCAAUGAAUCUUAGAUAAUGAAGACGGAAAACUGGUUUACGGCUCAGCAUGCCAGGCCAGAUUUUCUCAGCAACAGUACGGUAUAUAUUUGCAAUGUGGAUUCGAAGUUCCUCACGACGAGACCUUUGAGACUUGCAACUGAAUCCAUCCUUAAAAUUUUUGUAUAACACAUGGAGUCCCACUUCCUUGGCACAACUUGCCCCCCAUAAUCUAGUUAUCUUGAUCAUGGCAUUCUCUGCUCCCCAGAAGUAGCUCACUUCCACUUUGGUUUUCCCUCAGUUUCUGAAGAAACUUCAUCAAUAAAAGACGAAAGCUCGCUAAACAUGACUUCACAUGCUUCCAAGUGAGAAUGACCAAGAGCCAUAGUAGCUGCAUGUAUAUUUGCUUCAGAUCCAGAUUUUAAUGAGGGGAAAAUAAGAUGGUAAAGAUCUUUGGUUGCUACUAAGCCACCAGCUUCUCUACUAUCCGGUGGGCAUGAACAUGCAAAAAUAGCAUACAUAAGCCACUGAUCCAGCUUGUUGUCUACAUCCUGUGACUGAUGAGCCUUUCCGCCUAACUCAAUAGGUGUUAUAUGAGCAAGGCGUUGUAUAACCUUUACCUUUGCUUCCUGAACAGAGUUUGGGCAAAGCUCAGCUGCGUAUUUGACAAGUUCACUAAGACAUCGAGCCCACCUGUUCUUGUCAGGACUCUCAAAUAUUAUAGAUUGAAGAGUCACUUCAGGAGGAAUUGCAUCAGAUUCUCGUCUCAAAUCAAAUGGACGCCCAGAAUCCCAAUAGCAGUUCUGAACAAUGUCAUCCCCAUGUUCUUCAAGUACAUCAAUUAAUAUUGGUUCAGGUUCAAGUCUCAAACUAUGGUCCACUUGCUCACAUAAUGUAAGGUCUCGUAUAUCAUUCCUUAAGGCACGUACACAGCGCAAUAACUCAAGUGCUGUAUGCCGAAUCUGGCUAUCCACAGAACUAAGGAAGAUAAGACCCACUGCAUCAAUCUCAGAUGCAUGAAACUCAAUCAUUUCUGAUUGAUGAAAAGAAGACUUCUUAAAUCCUUCAUUUCCCUGCCCCCCACGCUUCGUGUCAUCAGCACCAAAUUCCAGUUUAUCAUCAAGCAAACAAGCUCUCCAAAAACGCAUAAGUUCCAACAAGCAUCCCAAUGAAGUUUGAAUGAGAAGAGGAAAUUCGUCAGGGAGCCGAAGUAUGAAGUUAGCCAUCCCUCUCAUAACUGCAAAUCGACGAUGGGGAAGAUAUCUAACAAUUCUAUUCAAUACCUGUACAGCUUCCUCACGUACGCCAGGAUCAAUACUUAUGCCAUGUUGUGGGAUUAUUUCAGUUAUCUUAUCACUUCUUCCAACUUCUUCUAUCAGGUAUGGUAUACACUUCAGGACUGACCGAAAGAGAUACCCUUGGGACUUGUCCUUGGUCACGGCGUCUGAGGAGUGAGCACACAGUUUAUUUGGUACAUACAAUUGCAGCCCAAAGAGGAAUAAAAUGCAAGCAAUACAGGGAUAAAGAACAAUCAAGCUCACAAAUGGAAUGGAUCAUAAGAAGAGUAAGUGGACGGAGUGGGAAAAACUGAAAAACAAUAACACUAAUGCAGACCUGUUGUCCAACCUACAGGCAACAUAAGGGAAAUGCAGAGGCAUUGAUUAUGGUAAUAUUAACUGUGUUGAUGCUUCUCACUGUCACUUUAUAGGCCACCAAUUCAUUUUUCUAAACGCUAAGUAACUGAGCUAUAAUCUCAAAAUAGUUGGGCCAUUUAAAUGAGCUCCUUUUGAACACAUUGAGCCAAUUAAAUUAGCCUUUGUCUCAAAUUUCAAACAACAAGCAAAACGUCACAUUAAACCAAUUACGGCUCAUUGACAACUGCAUAAAUUCAGAUUCAAAUAUGUCCUAAUAUUCUUAAAGUAAAACAAUUAACAAAUAGGACUAUGUUAAGCAACUACCAUGCCUUCAACCAAUCCAUGACAUCACAAAGCAAAUUUAUUCAUCAAUAUGACUGUAAGUAAAACAAGUUAAUACAAAAAAAUUACAAUAGAAAUAAAAUUAGCCACCUGCUUACUUGACAAGUUAAUAUGAUGCUAAAAUACAUUCAUGUCCAUGUAUGACUUUAUGCGACAAAUUGCUGACAAAAUCACUUGUAACUAUACAAAAUUUCAGAAAGAUGUCACCUCAGAACAAAGGAAGAUUUUACCUAUUGUUGUCUUCGAAGAGGUCAAAAGAGCCUGACUAUAGGUCCUAUGACAAGAUCUCAAAAUUGAUUCAAUUGCAGCCUUAACUUUUGGUAUAUAGUGGCCAAUAUCAUGUCCUAAUUAUGGAACAAUAGUUAAAACGAAGCUUAGAUAGUCUGGAUAAAAUAAUGAAAUCACGUAUUGUAUCUGUGUAAUAGGACAAAUAAUCAAAUACCCUUAAAUAUUUCCAAGCCAACAUGCUGGCUUGAAGGUGACAUAACAAUGGCAAGCAAAGCACGAAGACCAAUAACCUUUGCUUCACUUGGACUAUCCUGCUUCAGCAAUUCUAAUAUCAUAUGGUUCAUAGCAAAAUCAAGAUUAUGCUCAGCAAUAGUCACACAGAACUCAACUAGUUUGUCAUGUUGAACAUCCUGAGUAAGCAUUCCUUUCCUCAGAACUGUUAAGAGUUGAGAAGUCACACUGUCUAAGUAAUCCCAUAUACGAUUUGGGGCCUGGCUAGCAGCAUGAACACUCAAGUAAAACCUCAAAACUCGAUGAAGACAGUCCAAGGCCAUGAAACGAUGGUUCUUGUCUCUUAAUAACUUGUAGAGUUGCUCCAUGUGAGGACUUAGGUUGUUGUGGAAUAUUUGAGGGUCACCAAGACAGAGGAGAAGAGUCACAAGAGGGUAGCCAACAGCUAUAUGUUUACUUUGUUUGUCCAUCCAAUGCAUAAGUUGUACUCUUAUCCUCCCGACAGCUUCAUACCACAGUGUAAGUGCAUUUUCUACACCUAAAGGGGGCCAGUGGCUUUUUCCACCAUCUGCUAGUGGAGAAAGGAUAUUUGAGAGCAUAUUACAUAGCGCAUGGUAAAGCUCACUCUUGCGUUUAUGUGGAGCACGGUUAAGAGGGUUUGCUUUUGCCACAAAGGAAGCUGACGCAUUCAAUCCUCCUUCAGUUUUAACCCAAAGUUUCAGAUAACGCAUCCCAUUGAUAAUGCUCAGUGUUUCACUUCGGACAAUGCUAGUAUCAAUCCAACGAGUGUUCAAUUCCAUAAAAAAGCGCUCAGUUACAGAACUAAACCUGAUGCGAGAUAAGGCACCUAAGAGUUGAGCAACUAAGUCCAAAAGGAGCCCUCGUAAAUCAACCAACGAGGGAUAGUCAAUCUGGCUAACAACCCUGUCAGCAUUGAUUAGCCAGUCAAAAACAAAAUUUUCAAGUCCAGACCAAAGCUUCUCAGUAAGUGCUUCCUGAGGGCAGCACUCCACAAAACGAAUACAUGCUGAGCAAAAAAUACACUCCACUGCAAGCUUUCUUUGGAAGGUAGACGCAUCAUUUGCACCUUUGGGAGAUUCACUUUCUCUCCAUCUAAGAAGAGCUUCUAAAAGUGGUACAGGAGUAUGUCGGGCAACCAUAGCCAAGGAAUCCAAAACCUGCUCAUACGCAGGGUCCGAUGGUCGAAGGUACUGUCCAUCCUGAGCUUGAGCUGUUUCAAUGCGACGUCUGGCCAGCGGGAGGAACCGCUGCAGCAGGGCAUCAACAAUCAGCUUAGCAGCGCUUCCUGCUUUCAUUUUUAUUGUAAUUGUUAUUUACCAGGGACUACCCACAACAGUCAACAUGAAGGGUUGCGAAUGAGGACAAAGGAGUGUUGAUCUGAUUAAAAUUGAGAGGAAUAGAAAACCUGAAAACCCUUUAGGGUUUCGGUAAAUGAUUGCUUGAAGCUUUACCCAUUGCUAGUUGGGAGGAUCUAGCACCAACAACAACGAAACGUCUGCUUGAUUAAUCCAGAAAUAACUAAUUUAAACAGCAGAGAAAACGGUGGAUCGUUUCAUCAUAUUGUUCUCAUCUCAUGUCAGAUCGUAUUUAAUAUUUUGAUCGUUAUUCUUGCGGUUAAAGACUU